rnacentral:rRNA from 1 species
GCUAACGGGGGGCCAGGAGCCGGGGUAAGACAGAGGGGGCAAGGGUGAAUCGGAAGGACUGGGCGGAAAGCGCGCGGAGGGGGUGCGGUAAGUUGGAUGUGAAAGCCCCGGGCGCAACCUGGGAACUGCAUUCAAAACUGACGAGCUAGAGGAUGGUAGAGGGUGGUGGAAUUUCCUGUGUAGCGGUGAAAUGCGUAGAUAUAGGAAGGAACACCAGUGGCGAAGGCGACCACCUGGACUGAUACUGACACUGAGGUGCGAAAGCGUGGGGAGCAAACAGGAUUAGAUACCCCUGUAGUC